GUGAGGAAUUUUCCGCAAUGGGCGAAAGCCUGACGGAGCAAUGCCGCGUGAAGGAUGAUGGCCUAUGGGUUGUAAACUUCUUUUCUCAGAAAAGAAUUAUGACGGUAUCUGAGGAAUAAGCAUCGGCUAACUCUGUGCCAGCAGCCACGGUAAGACAGAGGAUGCAAGCGUUAUCCGGCAUGAUUGGGUGCAAAGCGUCUGUAGGUUGUUUAAAAAGUAUUCUGUCAAAGAUUAGGGCUUAACCAUAGAUAGGCAGAAUAAACUUUUAAGCUAGAGUUUGGUAGAGGCAGAGGGAAUUCCCGGUGGAGCGAUGAAAUGAGUAGAUAUCGGGAGGAACACCAAAGGCGAAGGCACUCUGCUGGGCCAAUACUAACACUGAGAGACGAAAGCGAGGGGAGCAAAUGGGAUUAGAAACCCUAGUAGUCC
rnacentral:rRNA from 1 species